CUCAUCAGACCAGGCAACAUUCUUCCAGUCUUCAACUGUCCAAUUUUGGUUGGAAGCUGCUGUUCUACAAAUCUUCCAAGAUAUUUCUAAAACAUUCUGGAACUACAGGAAAUUCUAAAACUUACCAAGACUAAAAACAGACAUUGCCUGUAUGUUCACAGAAUGUUCAUAAUAAACCAAAAACAUUUGGCACAUCAGUAACCUAAGGAUGAGAGGUCAAAAGAUUAUAUUUCAUUGAUGGAACAUGCUGUCUUGCUUUCAUUUUACUAGACUGCUAGGCUAUGCAUACUGAAAAAAUAUACCACUUUUUCGUAAAUCUAAACCUAUAUUUGGUUCUACCAAUGAUUAACACUGAUGAAAAACACUAUUGUUGGUAAAUGGCAAAAGGAUAUUUAUGGUCAUUUUCUUUUUAACAGGACGACGACUUGGUUUUCAUGUCAAGUUAUAAGAGCCUACUCAAUGUUAUUAUCGUACUGUAACUCUUCUCUGACUGUAAAUGCGAUUAUCUGAUAUUAAAAUAUUUGAAGGAUUCA